rnacentral:rRNA from 1 species
UAAUGUUCCAUAGUGGAUAUGUCCUGGAAUGGUAUAUCCUCGAAAGAUCCGUCGCCUUAGGAUGGGACUGCGUCCGAUUAGGUUGUUGGCGGGGUAACGGCCCACCAAGCCAUUGAUCGGUACGGGUUGUGGGAGCAAGAUCCCGGAGAUGGAUUCUGAGACAUGAAUCCAGGCCCUACGGGGCGCAGCAGGCGCGCAAACUUUACAAUGCGAGCAAUCGUGAUAAGGAAACCCUGAGUGCCUGUCGAUGCAGGCUGUUCAUAUAUCUAAAUCAUAUGUGAAGAAAGGGCAGGGCAAGACCGGUGCCAGCCGCCGCGGUAAUACCGGCUGCUCGAGUGAUGGCCACUAUUACUGGGUUUAAAGCGUCCGUAGCUUGACUGUUAGGUCUCUUGGGAAAUCUUCACGCUCAACGUGAAGGCGUCUAAGAGAUACCGGCAGUCUUGGAGCUGGGAGAGGUAAACCGUACUUCGGGGGUAGGAGUGAAAUCCUGUAAUCCUCGAGGGACGACCUAUGGCGAAGGCAGUUUACCGGAACAGCUUCGACAGUGAGGGACGAAAGCUGGGGGAGCAAACGGGAUUAGAUACCCCGGUAGUCCCAGCCGUAAACAAUGUGCGUUAGGUGU